CGGGCUCCUGGUUUGUCCAUCUGCACCCAGAGCAAAUCCCGUCCCCGCUCAGCGCGCACCGCAUGUGCUACGAGCUCGGUCUCGGGUCAGAAUCCGCUCCUUCUUCUGGAAACAGCCCGUCUGUAACACAAACAAAAGAACAACACGGCCUCUAAUUUUGGAAGGCGGCUUGCACGGGGCCUGCACGCGCUCCGGGGAGGUGACCUGCUUUUUAUGUGCUGGGCCAGUGCUUCCUGAGGCGCUGGAUGUUUGUUUUGAGGAGUUUUUAGGGACACUGAAGUGAGAUGGCACAGACGGCAGCAGGACCUGGUGGAGCUGAGAGCGGGAAGGGGCGAUCUGCUCCCCCAAGAGCUGCAUCUGUGCCCUCCAUGCUGACCCACAUCCUCCACUGGGAAAAAGGGGGGAAAUAUCCGCAGUGCUUUAACGUACGUUAAAAUAGAGCUUUAAAACCUAGUUAAGCACAAGCAAGAAACAGUUAAGUUCACAUCGGAAAAAAAAAAAAAGAAAUUGGCUGCUGAUCAGGAGGAGGAGCUUGGCUUUCAGUGAUUUCGAAUGAGAAGUAAAUCCAGGCUAUGGGGAAGCUUUCUGCCCCAGCCUGGUCGCCUCAGGGGUGCCCUCAGCAGCCCCAGGGUGGCUCCCAGCACCCCUCUUUAGCAGCCAGCACCUUUAUUUCCAUGGCCAGGGGACACAGCAAGCUGGCAGUGCCCCCAGCAAUCCUCACUGCCACAGGCAGAGGCAUAUUUUUAAGCCAUUACGGCUUUAAUCACUAAUUUGUUUGACUUGUGCAAUUGUGAAGGGAUUGUCUGUGCUGUAAGAGGGGGCCUGGGGAGCCUGUAGAGAGCCCCUGGGACUUUGCCAAAGCUCCCGGGAUGGCAUUUUGUGAGAACAUAAAGACCACACGUUGACAGGUCCCAAAGGGCUCUGCAUUGCGGAUUGGCAGAACCACUGAGGUUGGGAGAGACCUCUGAGGUCAAGUGCAGCCAUUUAAGCCCUGCAGACAUGACCCCAGUGCAGUUCAGCUGCACAUGUGGGGUCAGGACCCUUGGCACUGGGCAGAGCAGCACCAGGGCUUGGGAAAGGCUGCUCCUGCUGCUCCAGUGGAGUUGAAAUCCUACCACAGGGAUUCCUGCCAGGAGUCCCUGUCUCACAUACGGAAUGCAACAGAGCUCGGUGCUGUACACCAUUUCACCUCCUGACUCGCUGCCUCUGCCCUCACACCAGUGUGACCAGAUCUGUUAAUGUUUGGAGGGUGUUUUCUCUAGAAAUAACUCCUGUUGCUGCUGAGCAGUGUUACCCUUUCAACACCUGCCUUCACCCUCUCCUCCUUAAGUAACUCUGUGUUUCUUACUCUCACAUCUUCAUUCCCUUUUCCCUUUUUUGAUUUUUAAGUCAUUAGCCUCUGCACUGGGUUGUUCUUCUGGUUUUGGUUUCUUUUUCUUAUUUUUUCCUUCUGUGGUUUUGUGAGGACAUGAAAGCCAAUGGAUGACAGGUUUACAACAGAAAUGACUUAACAACCUGAACCUGAUUUCUUGCCUCUGAUUUAGUGGUGAAAAAGGCAAGGCAGGACAUAGACUCAGUAGGGCCAGAAGGAGGAUGCUCAUCAGCUGCCACACAACAGAGGAAAGUUACACUUACGGAGACCUGAGCUGUUUAACCUUCCUGAGCAGCACAAAAGUCAGCAUUUCAACAACUGCUGUAUUUUCCUGCCUGAAUCCUGGCUUCAGAAACGAUUGCAGGGCAAUGAUGGCUGUUUGCUGUGCUCUAGAACAACUGGUAUUCCACAGAAUCCUUGAAAACCUCUGGAUAGAGAUUAGGAAGAAGUUUAAAAAAAAAAAAAAGUAAAAAGAGAAACCAAGAAGGGCAGCGGAGCACAAAAGUCCACUGACAGCCUGCAGGAGCCUGACACCUCAGUUUUAUUUGUAUUCUUAAAAUCUACUCCUGCUGCCAAGGCUACGGAGUUGAUGUGCUCUGUUUACAGCAGGAGAAGCCAGAGCCCAAGACAACUGCAGCACUGCCAGGCCUGGAGGUGAAGGCACUGCUUUGUUACAGGGGCAUUCCCAUGCCCGAGUCCUCAGUGAAGGAAGAAAAUCACCAAUGGCAACACCGCUGAAUAAACACAAAGCACAUUUCAAGGGCCAGCUGAAGUGCCCAGAGGAGACAGACAUUAACCACCCUCACACUCAUCCUCAGGACAGUUUUGUGUCCACAUUUGACAGUUCUUCCCUUGAACGUUGUUUGGUUUGUUAUAACUCAGAAGCUUAAAAUAACAGUGCCCAGUGUAGUUUUAAAGCCCAAAACAGCCCUCUAACAAUUGCUUAAUUUAUUUCCCACUGUCAUGUCCUAAGACUUUUAUCUUAGGUCAGAACAAAAGAAUUCCAGCCUCCUGCCCAUGUUAGACAGAGAGAGAUUUUGAAAGGCUAUAAGGACAACCAUUAUUUGUUGGAAGGUUAUUUAUGAAGAACAGGAAGUGCAGGGGAGAUGGAAAGAAGUCAAAUUGCUUUCCAAGAAUAGGAAGAAAAGCUUUAUAAAACAAGUAUACUUUGUCACUUUAUCUUUGCUUCUCUCCUAAGACAAAAGAUUUUGUGUUGUGACUUUAUCGCAAUUGGUUUUGUAUCUAGAAAAUUAAAUGUUAUUGUUCUCUAAAAUGAUAAAUCUGCAAAAUCUAAAAUUAAAAAAAAAACACACAAAAACAACAAACAAACAAAACAAAAGUAUUUGUCUAUUCAACAGCAAGAUAGAUAAAAUGCUACGUGCCAGCAUC